rnacentral:rRNA from 1 species
GACGAACGCUGGCGGCGUGCUUAACACAUGCAAGUCGAACGGAAAGGCCCUGCUCUUGCGGGGUGCUCGAGUGGCGAACGGAUGAGUAACACGUGAGUAACCUGCCCUUGACUCUGGGAUAACUUCAGGAAACUGGGGAUACUACCGGAUAGGAGCUCCUGCUGCUUGGAGGGGGUUGCAAUGUUUCGGCGGCUGGGGAUGGACUCGCGGCUUAUCAGCUUGUUGGUGGGGUAGUGGCUUACCAAGUCUUUGACGGGUAGCCGGCCUGAGAGGUUGACCGGCCACAUUGGGACUGAGAUACGGCCCAGACUCCUACGGGAGGCAGCAGUGGGGAAUAUUGCACAAUGGGCGGAAGCCUGAUGCAGCAACGCCGCGUGCGGGAUGACGGCCUUCGAGUUGUAAACCGCUUUCGCCUGUGACGAAGCGUGAGUGACGGUAAUGGGUAAAGAAGCACCGGCUAACUACGUG